rnacentral:rRNA from 1 species
UACAGAGGUCUCAAGCGUUGUUCGGAUUCAUUGGGCGUAAAGGGUGCGUAGGUGGCGCGCUAAGUCAGGUGUGAAAUUUCGGAGCUUAACUCCGAAACUGCAUUCGAUACUGGCGGUGCUUGAGGACUGGAGAGGAGACUGGAAUUCAUGGUGUAGCAGUGAAAUGCGUAGAGAUCAUGAGGAAGACCAGUGGCGAAGGCGGGUCUCUGGACAGUUCCUGACACUGAGACACGAAGGCCAGGGGAGCAAACGGG